GGACGGCGGACGCUGGGACGAGUUUGUAGCUCCGGCCCUGCCGUUCCGACCCCCGCCGCGGUCGCCGCCAUGACGGGGCUAGCACUGCUCUACUCCGGGGUCUUCGUGGCCUUCUGGGCCUGCGCGCUGGCCGUGGGUGAGGCCGGGUCCUGGCGGGCGGGAGCAGCCUCGCGGCCGAGCUGGCCGGGUCGGAACUCGGCGGGGAAGUGGCCUGCGGGAAAUACUGGCCCCCCCGCGCGCUCUGCACCCGAGGCUCUGGGGACUUGCGCCUGCGAGGGCCUUUGACUCCGACAAAGGAGACCCGGAUUUCCAGCUGCUUGAGGAGGGGUGCGGGCGGGUAGGGGCCGCGAGGGCAGCACUCCCCCGUCCUGCCACUAUCGCUGUCUCCCCUCGCUCCCACGUCUCACUGCUGUCCCCCCUUUCUUGCUCCUGACCGGCCCGCUCGGUCACAAGCCGGCUGCUCCGGUUCCUCUUUCCCCAGUCGCUUUGCCCUCCCCCACCCACAGCUUGUUGGGUAAACAGCGGAACGGACUGGGCCGGCGGGAUCUGGCGGGGCCUGGCUGGAGCGCUUGCUCCCUCGGUCCCGCCUCGGAUUCGGGCUUGCGGGUGGCGACCCUGCCUGCGCAGGUGCUUGGUCUGGGAGGUGGUUUUAGCGAGGGAAUGGCAGAAAAUGGAGGCCUAAGCAGAGGAAUCUGUCUACACAGCUGUACUGUCACCUGGGGGCAGCCUGAGGACGCCCGUUCAGGGAGGUGGCCCUUCAGCUCGGCAGCUACUUUAGGUUGAAGAACUUCUCUCUACCGAGCAGCCCGUAACCCCCUUUUUUUCCCCUCACUGCUGCAGGAGUCUGCUACACCAUUUUUGAUUUGGGCUUCCGCUUUGAUGUGGCAUGGUUCCUGACGGAGACUUCGCCCUUCAUGUGGUCCAACCUGGGCAUUGGCCUAGCUAUCUCUCUGUCUGUGGUUGGGGCAGCCUGGGGCAUCUAUAUUACCGGCUCCUCCAUCAUUGGUGGAGGAGUGAAGGCCCCCAGGAUCAAGACCAAGAACCUGGUCAGCAUCAUCUUCUGUGAGGCUGUGGCCAUCUACGGCAUCAUCAUGGCAAUUGUCAUUAGCAACAUGGCUGAGCCUUUCAGUGCCACAGACCCCAAGGCCAUCGGCCAUCGGAACUACCAUGCAGGCUACUCCAUGUUUGGGGCUGGCCUCACCGUAGGCCUGUCUAACCUCUUCUGUGGAGUCUGCGUGGGCAUCGUGGGCAGUGGGGCUGCCCUGGCCGAUGCUCAGAACCCCAGCCUCUUUGUAAAGAUUCUCAUCGUGGAGAUCUUUGGCAGCGCCAUUGGCCUCUUUGGGGUCAUCGUCGCAAUUCUUCAGACCUCCAGAGUGAAGAUGGGUGAUUAGAUGAUAUGUGUGGGUGGGGCCGUGCCUCACUUUUAUUUAUUGCUGGUUUUCCUGGGACAGCUGGAGCUGUGUCCCUUAGCCUUUCAGAGGCUUGGUGUUCAGGGCCCUCCCUGCACUCACCUCUUGCUGCGUGUUGAUUUGGAGGCACUGCAGUCCAGGCCGAGUCCUCAGUGCGGGGAGCAGGCUGCUGCUGCUGACUCUGUGCAGCUGCGCACCUGUGUCCCCCACCUCCACCCUCAACCCAUCUUCCUAGUGUUUGUGAAAUAAACUUGGUAUUUGUCUGGG
rnacentral:sRNA from 1 species